GCGCUGCAAGCUCAACAGGCACGAGCACCCGCCUCUUAAGCGGGGGGCUGCGGGUUCGAGUCCCGCGCGGCGCA
rnacentral:tRNA from 1 species